UACGUAGGGUGCAAGCGUUGUCCGGAAUUAUUGGGCGUAAAGAGCUCGUAGGCGGUUUGUUGCGUCGGCUGUGAAAUCCCGAGGCUCAACCUCGGGUCUGCAGCCGAUACGGGCAAGCUAGAAUUCGGUAGGGGAGACUGGAAUUCCUGGUGUAGCGGUGAAAUGCGCAGAUAUCAGGAGGAACACCGGUGGCGAAGGCGGGUCUCUGGGCCGAUAUUGACGCUGAGGAGCGAAAGCGUGGGGAGCAAACAGG
rnacentral:rRNA from 1 species